CAUCUGCUGGGGAUGUAGGUCCAUGUCCUUGACCCAAGACCUUCCUUCAUUCCUGCGCCCAUCCCUCCUCAAGCCAUAUCCCUUAUAUCCCUUGAGUCCUCCAUCCCCCCUCCCCCAUCUCCCUGUCCACAGCCUCUGCCCCUCCUCUCCCUACCCUGUACCACCCCAACCCCAGGUCUUCCUCCAUCUCCUUGGGAACACAGAGCUCCUCUAGCAGGCACUCUCAGAACACAGCCUGCCAGCCCCAGCACCCGGCCUUGCUCCCAGCCUCUUCCCACCACAGCAGCCUCUUCCCUCUGUAUUCAGCUCAGGCGCUCAGGACUGCCAGGACCCAGAGGAUUCACACGACAGCCCCGGCUGAAGCCCAGCUCCUCAUCAACCGGUGAGCCGCCUGCCAGCUCCUGCUCCAGCUGCUGAGAAGCCUGAAGAGACCAAGACAGAGACACAGCCCCGCAGCACCACAGGGAGGCCCCAGUUACCCCAUGCGGAUGAGUUUCAUGGCCAUCUCUAACUAAGGACAGGACAUCGAUGUCAUCUGUAACUUCCAGUGCACUGGGGCACACAGCUGCAUCUCCCCAUGCUCACCUCCUGCCUCUUGCUCUGCCCAGUGUGAGGACUCAGCCUGGAUCACCUCCUCCAGGACAAGAACAACCUACCAUCAUCUGUCCGUCCAAUCUACCCACCCAUCCAUCUCUGCCUCUGGGCAUGCAUCCGUCCGUCCAUCCAUCCCCGCCUCUGUGCAUGCAUCUGUCCAUCCAUCCCCGCCUCUGUGCAUGGCAUCUGUCCAUCCAUCCCCGCCUCUGUGCAUGCAUCUGUCCAUCCAUCCAUCCCUGCCUCUGUGCAUGCAUCUGUCCAUCCAUCCAUCCCUGCCUCUGUGCAUGCAUCUGUCCAUUCAUCCCUGCCUCUGUGCAUGCAUCUCUCCAUCCAUCCAUCCCUGCCUCUGUGCAUGCAUCUGUCCGUCCAUCCAUCCCUGCCUCUGUGCAUGCAUCUGUCCGUCCAUUCAUCCCUGCCUCUGUGCAUGCAUCUGUCCAUUCAUCCAUCCCUGACUCUGUGCAUGCAUCUGUCCAUCCAUCCAUCCUUGCCUCUAUGCAUGCAUCUGUCCGUGCAUCCAUACCUGCCUCUGUGCAUGCAUCUGUCAGUCUAUCAAUCCCCGAUCCCUUCUUUGUAAUGGUGUUGAGUGCUCACAACUCCCUCAUCCUAAGACGCUCGUUGGAUCCAUUCCCUCCCGUCACCCCAUGCUGCUCUCUGCCCUCCCUUCCCGGUCAAGUUCUCCAGCCAGUGGUCUCAACUCAAUCUUCACUUCCCCCGCUCCUCUCACACCUAUCCCCACUGCAUUCUAAAUUCUUCCCCAACGCGCUGGGCCUACAGGCACUAAAAAGGUCACUUUGUCCCUGGAUGACCAAACACAGGCCAAUGUAACUUACUGGGCUUGUUUUGCCCCAGCCACAGCUGACCACUUCCUCCUUCACUCUUGUUGUUGAUCACCUUUGGGCUUAGUCUUUCUCCAUCUCUGUUGAGUCCUUCUCCCCUGCCACCUACUCCUUCAUGCUGGGGUUCUCUGUAGCUCUGUACCUGACAGUCACGUUCCACCCUUUCCUCCCAGAAGCUCGCCAACCCCCGUGGACUGCUGGCUCUCAAGGCGACCGCUAGCCCAGCUCCGACAGCAGCUGACAAUGCACAGUAUGCGGCCCGGGACAGGCCCUGUGCUGAGAGGCAUGGGUGAAUCGCUCAUUUCAUCGGCAAGCCCACGCCACCAGCAGGCGCCGUUCUCCUCGCAUUUCUCAGGUGAGGAACCUGAGACAAUGAGGUUAAGGAAGUUGUUCAUUACAAGUGGAAGAACCCUGACUUACUUGAAUUCAACUUUGAAGCCCACAUUCUCUUUUUGUGUGUGUGUGACAGGGUCUCACUUUGUCACCCAGGCCGCAGUGCAGUGGUGUGAACACAGCUCAUUGCAGUCUCAACCUCCCUGACUCAAGCAAUCCUCCUGCCUUAGCCUCCUGAGUAGCUGGGACUACAAGCAUGUGCCACCACGCCCAGCCGAAGCCCAUAUGUGAAUGUUGAGGCACACAGCCUCCCCAGCCUCUGCCUCACCAAGCCCUCCGCAGGGCCUAGGCACCCUCCCUGGCUGCCCCCUUCCCCUGUCACUCAGGCUCCCCAGCAGCCAAUGUAGUUAACAUGGGGCUACAAAGAGCUGGGCCUGGCCUCAGGUGGGACCGCCUCCCCGGCAUUGCCAUCCCUGCUGCAGAGCUCCCAUGCGAUCAGCCUCCUCUCCAGCUGAGACCACAUCCUCACUCAGCUUCUAGGCUGUUCCUGCUCCCCAUUCCCCUCAGCACAUGGCCCCUGAGAAACUCCUUGCACAAGAAUUUCCCUCUGGAGCCCCACCUCUGGGGAACCUGACCUCAGACAGAGGAGACCAAGCUCUAGGGCAGGAUCCUCCACCUCCCUUGCCCCACCCGUGUGGCCAGCCCGGAGCGCUGCAGACUCCCGCCCAGAUCUGCACUUGUGCCUGCCUUCUGCCAGCCUGCUCCUCCUCCUCCCACUCUCACACCUGCAUUAACAGCACCAGGACUCCAUCCUCCAAGGGCCCCAGCCUCAUCUCCCCUGUCACCAGGAUCCAGCCAGAUCUCAAUCCUAACUGAACCUCCCUCAGAUCCGUCCACUUCCCCCUUCCCCAGGACCACACUCCAUCAUCUCUUGCCUGGACCCUGCGAGAACUUCCUGCCUCCCUGCCUCUAUCCUACCCCCUGCCCCCCGCUGAAGCUGAUGAUAGUUCCGGAAUGCAAAACCCCUUAAUGAUUCCCCCAUUGAUCAAAGUCUUCCACAUGCUUUCAAGGUCCUUGGUGAUCCGGGACCUGCCGCCUUCUGCAGUCUCCCUACUGAUGCCAUAGUUUUGGCUUCUGGCCUCAUAUGUCCUGGGUCAUUUCUCUGGUCACUGGCUCCUCGUUCCCCUGACUCAGCUGGCUCACUGCUUUCCCAUUGGAUCUCAAACCCUGUGUACCUGGGGAGAGCGGAACUCUGUAUGUCUUGUCUUGUGCUAGUAGGCACUCAGUGUGUAUGUGUGGAUAUUCAUAUAUAUAUAUAUUUGAGAUGGAGUUUUGCUCUUGUUGCCCAGGCUGGAGUGCAGUGGCACGAUCUCGGCUCACUGCAACCUCUGCCUCCAGGAUUCAAUUGAUUCUCCUGCCUCAGCCUCUCCAGUAGCUGGGAUUACAGGCGUGCACCACCACACCCGGCUAAUUUUUUGUAUUUUUAGUAGAGACGGGGUUUCAACAUGUUGGUCAGGCUGGUCUCAAACUCCUGACCUCAGGUGAUCCACCCACCUGUGCUUCCCGAAGUGCUAGGAUUACAGAUGAAAGCAAUCACGCCCGGCCUAUAUUCAUAUAUAUAUUGAGGGAAUGAAGUCACCUCUUCUAGGAAGCCUCCCCUUGCCCAAGAGCUUUGGGCCAACAUCUCUGAGCCCCUGCAGGCUUGAGGACUUCCUCUGCUGGGAUUCUGUGGAGCUGUGUCACCGUGGGUGUUGUCAUUGCCAGUCACUCUUCUGACUCAGCUGCCAGGUAAAGAUUUGUUUUCGUCUCUGCAAGCCCCCAGCUCUGGCUUGGAGCUAGGCACCUGCUAGGCCUCUGUGAUGGUUCAUUGUGUGUGUCAGUUUGGCCCGGCUGUCGUACCCAGCUGGUUGGUGAAACACCAGUCUAGAUGCCAUGGUGAAGGUCUUUGUAGAUGCAAUUAACAUCUACAAUCAGUUGACCUUAAGUCAAGUAGAUCAUGCUCCAUAGUGUGGCUGGGGGUGGGGUGGGGGCAGAGCCAAUCAGUUCAAGGCCUUGAGAGCUAAAGCUAAGGUUUCCUGGAGAGGAAGGAAUUCUGCCUCCAGACUGUCACUGAAAUCCUGAGUUGCCAGCCUGCCGUACAAAUUUUGGACUUGCUAGCCCCUACAAUCCCGUGAGCCAAUUCCUUAAAAUAAAUCUCUUUACACACACGCACACACACACCCCCCCACACACACAUACACACACACACACAUCCCACACACAUGUGCACACACACACACACAUCCUGUUGGUUUUGUUUCUCUGGAGACCUCCCAGCUGAUAAAGCCUCCGUCAAUAAAUAUACUUUAAACCUAA
rnacentral:antisense_RNA from 1 species